rnacentral:misc_RNA from 1 species
AGGUGAACCUGCGGAAGGAUCAUUCAUAAUAAGUGUUUUAUGGCACUUUUUAAAUCCAUAUCCACCUUGUGUGCAAUGUCAGUCGAUCUUCUUCAUGGAGAUCGACCAAACAUCAACCUUUAUUUUUUAACUCUUUGUCUGAAAAAUAUUAUGAAUAAACAAUUCAAAAUACAACUUUCAACAACGGAUCUCUUGGCUCUCG